UACCCCUCCAGUUCCAGCAUUCACGAUGCUCUGCUCUCCUUGAGCUUACGCUACUGUCUGGCGGACUCCCCUGUACUGCACCCUGAUGUCUGCACAGAAGCAGAACGAUGUUUAUGGAAGCAGAUCAUAGAACCAUAGAAUGGCCUGGGUUGAAAAGGACCACAGUGAUCAUCGAGCUUCAACCCCCUUGCUAUGUGCAGGGUCGCCAGAUGAAUCAUUGCUGAGGUCCUACUGGUACCACAGUUAGUUUUGCAAAAACUGUAUUCAAGGUGGAAAAGAGUGGAAAAAUAAUUUGGAAUUCCUGAAAACUGGAAUGUUAUUCUGGUUCUCAUCAUUUUAAUCCCCACUGAGCCCAUCUUCUGUAAUAGAUGUCUUCUGCUAAUUAUUCCAUUGCCAGUUCAAGC
rnacentral:lncRNA from 1 species